rnacentral:lncRNA from 1 species
GUCUGCAAAACAUUAAACAUCUAUGAAGAUCACAAGCUCCAUGAAUUCAAACAAAAUUCUUUAAUUAAAUUUUUAUUGAUUUUUUCUCACUUUUUGUUGGAUCAUAUUAUCCCAAGCCUUGCCAGUGAGAGAGUAACGGAUGGUGAACUUGAGAAUGUCAAGAGGAAUGUAGGUAAUGAUACUGUAUAACCAUAUGACUCCAGCCCAUCCCCAUCCACAACCUAGGAUCCUUGCAAAUCCCCAGUUUGCAUACACAGCGAUCAAUGUAGCAACCUUACUCGUUGAACAAGAUAAACACAAGUUUCAUACUAACAAUAAAAUGUAAAUAAAAAUGGUUAGGAAUAUGGUAACAAGACAAUCUUCUCACCAGCUGUGCUAUAACAAAGGCUAUAAGGAGCAAAAACCCAGGACGUUCGACAAAUGACCAACUCCUUGAUCUGGUGACAAAAAUAAGUGCUUGGCUUAUGAUGCUCACUUGAAGGUACAGAGCUGCCAUAAGCUCUUCCUCAUUCUCUUGAAUGGACCUCACACCAAAUGUUUUCUGAAGCUUUCCACAGGUGCUCGUACUCGAAUGCGGGGUGAGAUUCAGGCUUGUCGACCAUAUGGGGAGCCGGAUGAGACUCAUGACCGCCAGAGCCAUGCGAACACUUACGAUUAACAGAAGCGGUUAAAAAUAAAAUGCCUCAAUAUUUUAAAUUACAAUAAUAAAAUACUAUUAUUAUAUAGUAAAAGGUCAACAAACUAAAUAUUCAUUCUAAAUUUUUAAAUAUAACUUUUUGUUCUUUUUUACAAAACUGAUAACCAAAUUUUCAAAUGCUUAUGAAUCUUUUUUGAAUGAAAAAGUAGCUAAUAUUACUUAUUUUUUUCUUAUCUUAUUUUAUAAUAUUAGUUGUUUUUAUUAUUUAUUUUUAUCUGCUUAUUUUACUAUUAUAACUACUAAAAUAUCACUAAAUAGUCAUAAAAACAUUAUAACCACAUGUACACAACAAUCAUUAUCUUCAUCUAGCCCGUAUUAAGCAUAUCCAUUAAAUAUAAAACUUCUAACAUAAACCAUACUAGAUUUUGAUCCGCGCUUUCAAAGCGCGGAUAUUUUUUUUUUUCAAGUGACAAAUAUUUAGUAGAUGUCAUAUUUAAAUAAAUUUGUGUUUUAUUUUAUAAAAGACUUAAUCUUUUUAUUUUUAUUUAUCUUAUUUUAUUUUAAAUGACUAUUUAUGUUUAAAAGAUUAAAUUUUAUUUCUUUAAUAAAUUAAGUUGGUAUAACUCUGGUAAAUUAAUUUUAUUAUGUGGUUAGCGAAAGCUUCAAAUUCUACCACGGCUCUGAUAUUGACCACUUGUUCUUCGCAUGUCCAUACUAGGAUUGAUAAUACUGGCUCUCUACUUGGUCGACCUAACCUUGACUAGAGUAUAACAACCACAAAGCUUCCAAGAUUGUGAGAUCACUAGACAAAACUUCAUAAACUGUUUUGUCAUUCUAUCAUCCUCACUUCAGUUAUGUAAGUAUUGUUCUUCUGUUUUUUGUCUAUAAAUUAAACCUUUGUUUUAAGAAAAUCGUUUUUCCAGUAUCCGGUUUCUAAAGCACUUAAUUAACCUCUAAACAAAUAAUAUUUUUUUUUUAAGUAACUAGGUUUUAUUAUAUUUCAACAAACGGAAAAACAUAUUUUAUCUCUCUUUUUUCUCUCUUUUUGUUACAUAUAGUUUAAAAACAAUACAAGUGGAGUACAUAGCUCACUUUGUUGAUUUGAACUCAUGGAAAGUAGAAUGCAAGAAAUGGCUAGACAGUGUAGUGUUGUUGAAUGGUAUCAAUGUCAAGCCCCUUCAGCUUCACUACAGAUUCAACGUGGCCGAAGAAAGUGUGGACACCAGUGGCUAUGACAACGGCCUCAAUCUCACCUUGUUUGCAAGUUGAACCCGAGAAUACUUCAUCUCCAGGGUGUUUGGUGACUGGAAGAGAUUCACCGGUGAGAGCAGAUUGGUCAAUUUUCAGAGGAUCUCCUUGGAGGAGACGAGCAUCAGCAGGGACAAUGUCACCCAGUUUGACGCUUAUUAGUGCGCUGAGCUAAUGCCCAUUGAGCCUCCCUCUCUCCUUUGCCGUAAUCUUUCUUUGUUGUAAAGGCGGUCUGCAAAACAUUAAACAUCUAUGAAGAUCACAAGCUCCAUGAAUUCAAACAAAAUUCUUUAAUUAAAUUUUUAUUGAUUUUUUCUCACUUUUUGUUGGAUCAUAUUAUCCCAAGCCUUGCCAGUGAGAGAGUAACGGAUGGUGAACUUGAGAAUGUCAAGAGGAAUGUAGGUAAUGAUACUGUAUAACCAUAUGACUCCAGCCCAUCCCCAUCCACAACCUAGGAUCCUUGCAAAUCCCCAGUUUGCAUACACAGCGAUCAAUGUAGCAACCUUACUCGUUGAACAAG